ACCUCCUUAGUAUAUUAGUAUACUUGGCUUCCAACCAAGUGGUCCUUAACAGGAAGAGGUA
rnacentral:tRNA from 1 species